CCUACGGGAGGCAGCAGUAGGGAAUCUUCCACAAUGGACGAAAGUCUGAUGGAGCAACGCCGCGUGAGCGACGAAGGCCUUCGGGUCGUAAGCUCUGUUGUUAGGGAAGAACAAGUGCGAGAGUAACUGCUCGCACCUUGACGGUACCUAACCAGAAAGCCACGGCUAACUACGUGCCAGCAGCCGCGGUAAU
rnacentral:rRNA from 1 species